rnacentral:rRNA from 1 species
UGGCUCAGGACGAACGCUGGCGGCGUGCUUAACACAUGCAAGUCGAACGAUGAAGCCCUUCGGGGUGGAUUAGUGGCGAACGGGUGAGUAACACGUGGGCAAUCUGCCCUUCACUCUGGGACAAGCCCUGGAAACGGGGUCUAAUACCGGAUAACACUCUGUCCCGCAUGGGACGGGGUUAAAAGCUCCGGCGGUGAAGGAUGAGCCCGCGGCCUAUCAGCUUGUUGGUGGGGUAAUGGCCUACCAAGGCGACGACGGGUAGCCGGCCUGAGAGGGCGACCGGCCACACUGGGACUGAGACACGGCCCAGACUCCUACGGGAGGCAGCAGUGGGGAAUAUUGCACAAUGGGCGAAAGCCUGAUGCAGCGACGCCGCGUGAGGGAUGACGGCCUUCGGGUUGUAAACCUCUUUCAGCAG